UGGGGGAUAUUGCACAAUGGGCGAAAGCCUGAUGCAGCGACGCCGCGUGGGGGAUGAAGGCCUUCGGGUUGUAAACUUCUUUUGCUCUGAACAAGGCAUGCUUUUGGGGUGUGUUGAGUGUAGGGGUUGAUUAGCGCCGGCUAACUACGUGCCAGCAGCCGCGGUAAUACGUAGGGCGCGAGCGUUGUCCGGAAUUAUUGGGCGUAAAGGGCUUGUAGGUGGCUGGUUGCGUCUGUCGUGAAAGCUCAUGGCUUAACUGUGGGUUUGCGGUGGGUACGGGCUGGCUUGAGUGCAGUAGGGGAGGCUGGAAUUCCUGGUGUAGCGGUGGAAUGCGCAGAUAUCAGGAGGAAUACCGGUGGCGAAGGCGGGUCUCUGGGCUGUUACUGACGCUGAGGAGCGAAAGCGUGGGGAGCGAACAGG
rnacentral:rRNA from 1 species